rnacentral:lncRNA from 1 species
CUAGGAGAGAGAACCCCGGGGGUGCUAGAACUCCUAGCACCUCUUGCUCUUUCGAGAGAGGGGACGGCCACACAGCAACCCUAGACCUUGGGUGGUGUGAAAGAGAGAGAGAGAGAGAAAGGGAGAGAGUGGUUUUUGGUUGAGGGAGAAGAGUUUCAAUUGAUUUAUUUGAUUUUGCCCCAGUUACAUUUAUAUAUAGACCUACACAC